UUCCGUGGAUUCUUCGUUUUCUUGGAUGGGAAUCGAGGAUAGUAGAAUUUUUUAAAUAUUCUUAGGCUAAAGCCAUAUUGAUAAUAUUUCAUUUUUUUUGUUUUAAGAUUUCUUUAGUAUACACCAAUUUAAAAUUAAAAUUAAAAAAAAUUUCAACUUGGCACUAGCUAAUUAAAAAAAAAUUAUGUUUAUUAGUAUAAAUUUUAUCCCAAAUUAUCAGAUUAUGAUUUCAACCUAGGAUGGCUCUUAAAACUUGCUUGAGCUUCCUUUUUAUUGGAUGAACUCCCGAUGUGGACUUCUCAUGUUGUGCCUUUCAUUUUCAAGUUUAAUUUUGCUUAGUUGAAAUUUCUUCCAAGAGAUGUCCACUUAUUUAGUGAUGAAAAUGAUCUUGAUAAGAUAAUGCCCUACAAACAUAAGAAAAACAGUCAAAGGGCCAGCUUUAACGACGUAGACACUCUAGCGAUCAAGUUAAUCAUCGAAUUUUUAAAAAUCUAAAGUUCAGAGUGUGAAAAUUUAGAGAAAUAAAGCCUAGAGAGAGAAAGUCUUCUCUAGCCACUCUCCCCCAAGAUCUUUUUGUUUAAGGUCACUUUCUUCCAAGCAGUCCCUAUACCUCUCUAGAGGAGCCAGAAUCAGCUUCAUCGUCACUAGGAUCGCUUGAGUUCUCCCUUUCCUCAACUUGAGCUUGGAACUAAUAAAAAAUUCUAUCAAAGUUCGAAGCUAAUGAAUCCACUUUACUUUGGAUCAAGCUUGCCCUUGUCGUUAGGCAUCAUGAUGUGGAUUAGGAAAAGGAUGAAUGAGUACCAUGGCUUCAAAUGAUGAAUCCAUCAGUGGUCUUCUUCGUUGAAAAUGGGCUUCCUUAACCCUAGAACUCAAAGAUUCAAACACAGGGUCAUGAUACUCCUAGCUCAAAUCCAUGCUCACAGUUCCAAGACUUUUAGUCGGGAGUUCUCGUAGACAACGCCAAUUUUGUUGGUAAAAAUUUUGUCCCAAUUUAUAAAAUGGUAAUUUCAUGAGCUUCCUCUUUACUGGAUCAAACUAUGUUGAACUCUCAAUGUGGGCUUCUUAUGUUGUGCCUUUCAUUUUCAAGUUCAAUUGUACUCAUUUGAAUUUUCUCUUCAGAGUUAUCUGCUUCCUUAUGUGACGAGGAUGACCUUAAUUAGAUAAUGCUCUAUAAAUAUAAGUAAAAUAGUCAAAGGCUUGCCUCACCAGCGUAAACCCUUUGAUGAUCAAGUCGAUCACCAAAUUUUUAGAGAGAAAAGUUUAGAGUGAGAAAAUUUGGAGAUACAAAGCCUAGAUAGAGAGAGUCAUUAUUUAUCCUCUUGAGUGAUUUUUGGCUUAUCUUUGAAAAAAGAUGGAAACUUAUAUUUGUAAAUGACUUUGAUUUGACUUGAGUCCUUAUUGUAUUGACCACAAAUGUCAUUGUCUUUAUAACACCGGGCAACACUUGUCUUCUUGCGACCAUGCCAAGUAACACUUGGACAUACAACUUUGUCCUCAUAUCAAAAGAGGAAGUUUCUCCAUCCUUUUUGUUUGGUAGAGGAUAUAGUAUCAUUAUGCUUAGUUUUCAAAGGAAGAGAUGUUUUUAUCAUAGGUUUUCAACCUAGAAGUUUGUCUAAGGAGGUUUAUCUUUAGGAAAUUUGUCCUAAGAGGUUUUUUUCUAGAUAAAUUGUCCUAUGAUCAUGGGAUCUUAGGAACCUAAGAGUUUAUUCUAGGUAGCAUGUCUCCUAAAACCUAUUAGACUUAUCUUAAGAGGUUUUUCCCAUAAUCUAGGAAUCUAAAAGGUUUAUUUUGUUUCCUCUUAAUUAGUUGGUAAAACUAUAAAUGAAAGAGCGAGACAGAGAACAUUGAAGCAAAACCAUCCAUCCAAUUACACCAACAGAACAAGAACCUUUCAUUGUUAAAAUGUGAGUUGCUAGUGUUAUAUAUAUAUAUAUAUAUAUAUAUUAUAUCCUUCACUUUUAAUUCAUUCAACGUAUAAGAAUAUAAUAGUGAGUCUAUCACG
rnacentral:lncRNA from 1 species